rnacentral:tRNA from 1 species
GGCGGGGGUGCUGCUGUGGGCGGUCGGGCUGGCCUUCGAGGCCAUCGGUGACGCCCAGCUCGCCCGGUUCAAGGCCGACCCCGCCA